UCCUCCAAGCUAUACAUGUUAAGAUCCUUUAACCUUUCCUGGUAAGUUUUAUCCCGCAAUCCAUGAACCAGUUUAGUAGCCCUUCUCUGAAGCCUCUCUAAGGUAUCAAUAUCCUUCUGAAGAUACGGUCUCCAGUACUGUGUACAAUACUCCAAGUGAGGUCUCACCAGUGUUCUGUACAAUGGCAUGAGCACUUCCCUCUUUCUACUGCUAAUACCUCUCCCUAUACAACCAAGCAUUCUGCUAGCAUUUCCUGCUGCUCUAUUACAUUGUCU